AUUAUUGGACAAUGGGCGAAAGCCUGAUCCAGCGACGCCGCGUGGGUGAAGAAGGCCUGCGGGUUGUAAAGCCCUUUUAGUGGGGAUGAAAAACUCGAACCUAGUACAUCUGGGUCUUGACCUAACCCACAGAAAAACAACCGGCUAACUCCGUGCCAUCAGCCGCGGUAAUACAGAGGGUGGGAGCGUUAAUCGGAAUUACUGGGCGUAAAGCGUGCGUAGGCGGUUCCGUGUGUCGGGUGUGAAAGGCCCGGGCUCAACCUGGGAAUUGCAUUCGAAACUGCGGGGCUAGGGUGCGGAAGAGGGAAGCGGAAUUCCCGGUGUAGCGGUGAAAUGCGUAGAUAUCCGGAGGAACACCAGUGGCGAAGGCGACACGCUGGGCCUGGCCUGACGCUGAGAGGCGAAAGCAUGGGGAGCGAACGGG
rnacentral:rRNA from 1 species